CGGGAACUUUGACUCUGGGGUUUGAAGUUUGAUACCAACUUCUUGUCCUUCUCGAAGAGGAUCUUGAAAGGAGUAAGAAUUUUUCAAGGAAGAACAGUGUUUGACUCCCAUCCACAGUUUGCAGAUUGGUCGAGAGAGACCAGAAGUGGACCCUUACUCAAUGUGAAGUCACUAGAUCAUUGGCUAAUACUCUAUCCUACGAGAAAUUAUGGAGCGGCUUCAUCCUUAGUACAGAGUCUACGGAAAGUCACACCCACCAUGGGCAUAGCUAUGAGAGAGGCAAAAAUGCUUGAAGUAAGUGAUACAGUCCAGUCCUAUACAACUGUCUUAGAAAAUCAUGUUUCCUCCAAAACACAGAUGGUCCUUUGCGUGCUGUCCAGUGAAAAGAAAGACCUGUAUGAUGGCAUAAAAACAAUACCUGUGUGUCAAUUGUCCGACCCCAAGCCAGUGUGUCGUGGCACGGACCUUAGACAAACCCCAGACGCUGAUGACCAUUGCGACAAAGAUUGCCCAGCAGAUGAACUGCAAGAUGGGAGGAGCCCUCCGGAAGGUGGAGACAGGAGUACGUUGGAUUUCAUU
rnacentral:lncRNA from 1 species